AGUAUUGGCAUCGAGAUUGAAGGGAAGACCUGUGAUAUGGAAGCGCAUGGAGCUCAUUCUGAACGAAAUCAGAGGUUGGAGGAGAAUGAGAUGUUUGGGUGAGGAGGCAAGAGAGAACCAGAAUGCGAGUGGAAGGGGAGCUGGAUGAAAUAAAAGAGCUCGGAAAGGAUGUGGAAUGGGAUGAGGAAAAUGAACAAUUCCACACCGAGAAUAAAGCGGCACACAAGUUGUUUGUUCAUCUAUUUGCAGGCUGGAUGUAAAGAGUAAACAGGAGGGGGCAGAGGUGAAUGCCAACAAUUGUACAAAACCGGCACGAAGUUCCAACAUGAACAGCUUUUUCUCCCUUGAGUCAAGUUUGCAAAUCAAUUGCAACGUCACUUCCGAUCGCCCUUGCAGUGGGUGGAGUAACUGCACGCUUCGGGGUGGAGUCUAUGGAAGUUCAGGUCAGAGGCUCCAAGAUGAAUUGGACCAGGGUAAUAAGGACAUGCACAGACAAAUCAAUAAAUGACCACAACUAAUAGCCCUCCGAAUCCGUGGAUGAGUUUGAAUUGCGCAAAAACCCAGAAAAAAAGAAUUGGCAUCAAGAUUGAAGGGAUGACCUGUGAUAUGGAGGUCAUUUUGAAGGAAAUGAGAGGUUGGAGGAUGAUGAGACGUUUGGGUGAGGAGGCAAGAAAGAGAACCAGAAUGGGAAUGGAAGGGGAGCUGGAUGAAAGAGAAGAGUUUGGAAGGACGUGGAAUGGGAUGAGGAAAAGGAAGAAUUCCACAUCAAGAAUAAAGCGCCACAGAUAAGUUGUUUGUUAAUCUAUUGGCAGGGCGGAUGUAAACAGGAAGGGGCAGAGUACGGAGCUUUGCCUUGGUUGACAGUUGCUAUGGAAGGUAGUUUGGUGGUAGGUCUGAUUGUAAUGAGGGCAGGCAUUGAAAGUGUCCGUAGAGUUGAUAGUUGGACGUGGUGGUUGUUGCGAAGGAAGGUUGAGAUGGUCGGCAGGUUGUUUGGCUUGUUUCAGUCUCGAGCUGCUCUUUGUUUUGAGUAGACGUUUACAGUGUAGACUUUAAAUGACUUAUCAAGUUGAUCAAAACAAAACUGAAUAGUUUUUUAGGGUGAAGACCAACAAUUGUUACACAACGGGCACGCAGUUCCAAGAUGAACAGCAUCUUCUCC